GACAGAGGUCCCGAGCGUUAGGCGGAAUCACGGGGCUGAAAGCGUGUGUCGGCGGACUUGUAAGGACCUUGUGAAAUCCCACGGCUUAACCGUGGAACUGCUCGGUAUACUGCGAGUCUUGAGCCACUUAGGGGCUACCGGAACAAAUGGUGGAGCGGUGAAAUGCGCAGAUAUCAGGAGGAACACCGGUGGCGAAGGCGGGUCUAUGGGCCGAUACUGACGCUGAGGAGCGAAAGCGUGGGGAGCGAACAGG
rnacentral:rRNA from 1 species